rnacentral:rRNA from 1 species
GGCGGCAGGCCUAACACAUGCAAGUCGAGCGGUAGCACAGAGAGCUUGCUCUCGGGUGACGAGCGGCGGACGGGUGAGUAAUGUCUGGGAAACUGCCUGAUGGAGGGGGAUAACUACUGGAAACGGUAGCUAAUACCGCAUAAUGUCGCAAGACCAAAGUGGGGGACCUUCGGGCCUCAUGCCAUCAGAUGUGCCCAGAUGGGAUUAGCUAGUAGGUGGGGUAACGGCUCACCUAGGCGACGAUCCCUAGCUGGUCUGAGAGGAUGACCAGCCACACUGGAACUGAGACACGGUCCAGACUCCUACGGGAGGCAGCAGUGGGGAAUAUUGCACAAUGGGCGCAAGCCUGAUGCAGCCAUGCCGCGUGUGUGAAGAAGGCCUUCGGGUUGUAAAGCACUUUCAGCGGGGAGGAAGGCGNURAGGUUAAUAACCUCGUCGAUUGACGUUACCCGCAGAAGAAGCACCGGCUAACUCCGUGCCAGCAGCCGCGGUAAUACGGAGGGUGCAAGCGUUAAUCGGAAUUACUGGGCGUAAAGCGCACGCAGGCGGUCUGUCAAGUCGGAUGUGAAAUCCCCGGGCUCAACCUGGGAACUGCAUUCGAAACUGGCAGG